GAGAUAUUAGUAAAUAAAUUACAUAACUUUGUCAAAGUUAAAUUAU
rnacentral:tRNA from 1 species